rnacentral:tRNA from 1 species
GGCGGGAUGGCUGAAUGGUAAAGCGCUACCCUUGCACGGUUAGUAAUAUCGGUUAACCCGAUUUCGUCGGUUCGAUUCCGACUCCCGCCU